GCCUUGACUGGUAUCCUGGAAUUGGGUUCGGGCUUUUCUUGCGCAGCCUAGGUGGGAGGCUAUUGAAGAUUUCUUUCCGGGGAAGUUGAGAGCCAUCAUUGAGAGACCACUCUGGAGAGGCUAGAAUUCCUAAUGGCUGAUCCUUGAAUCAGGACACCUUGACAGUUUCAGGUGGGCAGUUUUUCUGGGGCGGAAGCCUCAUAAAGCGUAACUGAGGCCGCGCAAAGGUUCCCUCAGUCUGGAUCGGAAAUCAGACAACUGAGUGUAAAGGCAGAAGGGAGCUUGACUGCAAGACCCAACAAGUCGAGCAGGAGCGAAAGCCGGCCUUAGUGAUCCGACGGUGCCGAUGUGGAAGGGCCGUCGCUCAACGAAUAAAAAGUUA
rnacentral:rRNA from 1 species